AGAGCGGGAGCCCGGAGAUGGGCACUGAGACAAGGGCCCAGGCCCUACGGGGCGCAGCAGUUGCGAAAACUCCGCAAUGCACGAAAGUGUGACGGGGCUACCCCGAGUGCCGUCCGCUGAGGGCGGCUUUUCCCUGGUGUAAGGAGCCGGGGGAAUAAGGAGAGGGCAAGUCUGGUGUCAGCCGCCGCGGUAAUACCAGCUCUCCGAGUGGUAGGGAUAAUUAUUGGGCUUAAAGCGUCCGUAGCCGGCCUGGCAAGUCUUCCGUUAAAUCCAACGAUUCAAUCGUUGGACUGCGGGAUAUACUGUCGGGCUAGGAGACGGGAGAGGCCGACGGUAUUCUCGGGGUAGGGGUAAAAUCCUAUAAUCCCGGGAAGACCACCAGUGGCGAAGGCGGUCGGCU
rnacentral:rRNA from 1 species